AGGGAAUAUUGGACAAUGGGUGAGAGCCUGAUCCAGCCAUGCCGCGUGCAGGAAGAAGGCGUUAUGCGUUGUAAACUGCUUUUGCCAGGGGAUAAAACGGCUCUGCGGAGCUAAUUGAAGGUACCUGGUGAAUAAGCCACGGCUAACUACGUGCCAGCAGCCGCGGUAAUACGUAGGUGGCAAGCGUUGUCCGGAUUUAUUGGGUUUAAAGGGUGCGUAGGCGGCCCUGUAAGUCAGUGCUGAAAUAUCCCGGCUUAACCGGGAGGGUGGCAUUGAUACUGCAGGGCUUGAGUACAGAUGAAGUAGGCGGAAUUGACGGUGUAGCGGUGAAAUGCAUAGAUAUCGUCAAGAACACCGAUAGCGAAGGCAGCUUACUAAGCUGUAACUGACGCUGAGGCACGAAAGUGUGGGGAUCAAACAGGAUUAGAUACCCUGGUAGUCCACACCGUAAACGUUGAUGACUCGAUGUUGGCGAUACACAGCCAGCGU
rnacentral:rRNA from 1 species